AAGACCUUCUGCAAGCUCGGGAAACAAUUGAAGAACUUAAGAAACAAGCUGAAGAGCUGAAGCAGCAGAACGAGGGGCUAAAGAAACAGAUCGAAGAACUUGAGCUGAGCUCUGCCCAGAUUCUUGCUGCUGGAUUCGAGGCCGCCCGGGAGCAGUUCGCCUGCCUGUACCCCGACUUGGAUCUUACCAUGGUGUCUCUCAACAAUGAGGUGGUGGACGGGAAGGUUGUUCCUUCUGAAGAUUGAUUGCUUCCCUCCAUCCACGAUUCUUAUGCUUUCUCCUUACACAUAAUUGUAAUAGACUUUCCCUUUUUCUGUAUAUGUACC
rnacentral:lncRNA from 1 species